rnacentral:rRNA from 1 species
AUAACUUCUGGAAACGGAUGCUAAAACCGGAUAGGUAGCAGACAAGCAUUUGACUGCUAUUAAAGUGGCUAAGGCCAUGAACAUGGAUGGACCUGCGGUGCAUUAGCUAGUUGGUGAGGUAACGGCCCACCAAGGCGACGAUGCAUAGCCGGCCUGAGAGGGCGGACGGCCACAUUGGGACUGAGACACGGCCCAAACUCCUACGGGAGGCAGCAGUAGGGAAUUUUCGUCAAUGGGGGGAACCCUGAACGAGCAAUGCCGCGUGAGUGAGGAAGGUCUUCGGAUCGUAAAGCUCUGUUGUAAGAGAAAAACGGCACUCAUAGGGAAUGAUGAGUGAGUGAUGGUAUCUUACCAGAAAGUCACGGCUAACUACGUGCCAGCAGCCGCGGUAAUACGUAGGUGGCGAGCGUUAUCCGGAAUGAUUGGGCGUAAAGGGUGUGUAGGUGGCAGAUCAAGUCUGGAGUAAAAGGUAUGGGCUCAACCCGUACUGCUCUGGAAACUGAUCAGCUAGAGAACAGAAGAGGACGGCGGAACUCCAUGUGUAGCGGUAAAAUGCGUAGAUAUAUGGAAGAACACCGGUGGCGAAGGCGGCCGUCUGGUCUGGAUUCUGACACUGAAGCACGAAAGCGUGGGGAGCAAAUAGGAUUAGAUACCCUAGUAGUCCACGCCGUAAAC